rnacentral:rRNA from 1 species
GAUGAACGCUGGCGGCGUGCCUAAUACAUGCAAGUCGAGCGAACAGACGAGGAGCUUGCUCCUCUGACGUUAGCGGCGGACGGGUGAGUAACACGUGGAUAACCUACCUAUAAGACUGGGAUAACUUCGGGAAACCGGAGCUAAUACCGGAUAACAUGUUGAACCGCAUGGUUCAACAGUGAAAGACGGUCUUGCUGUCACUUAUAGAUGGAUCCGCGCCGCAUUAGCUAGUUGGUAAGGUAACGGCUUACCAAGGCAACGAUGCGUAGCCGACCUGAGAGGGUGAUCGGCCACACUGGAACUGAGACACGGUCCAGACUCCUACGGGAGGCAGCAGUAGGGACUCUUACGCAAUGGGCGAAAGCCUGACGGAGCAACGCCGCGUGAGUGAAGAAGGUCUUCGGAUCGUAAAACUCUGUUAUUAGGGAAGAACAAAUGUGUAAGUAACUAUGCACGUCUUGACGGUACCUAAUCAGAAAGCCACGGCUAACUACGUG